GUGCAGGCCGCCCCUCAUGCUCCACUCGGCACAUGUAAUUCUGCUGCCCACUUCCAGAACGUUCCAUCUCUUCCAGGCCUGGUCUCCAUAAGCUCCAUGUCCUGGGUCGGGGAGAUCUCUGCAGGGUAGAAGCCUAGGGCCCAGCACCUCAAGGUGACCUCACUGGCAGAAGUUGGAUGGCUCCCGGAAGAUGCUUCUCCCUCUCCAUCUAUGGACAUUAGAGUCAGCCGUAUGAUUUUCUUCCCAUUUGGACUGGGAGCUCCUCAGGUGAAGACUUUCCUUGGUGUCUCUGAAUUCUAAGGCCACAGCAAAUGCUUGUCACUGAGUUUGUGGAUUGCAAGCUAUGAGGGAGCAAUCAUUUGACAGCCAGGAAGUCGCUGGUGGAGGCCAGGCCUGUAAUGAUUCUGCCUCAUCAGCCUUUAGACUCGGGUCCCGGAUUUAUGAGUUCUUGUCUUCAUCCACAUUCACCCCUAUAGGUCCUCUAGAAACUCCAAAUGAAUUUUUACCCAGCAUUCCAUGGAAACCUCAGCUUAGUCUGGGCUGCAAAGCAGAGUGGAUGGGUGAGUCAGCCAUUUAUCCUUCCGGAGAGUAGGCCUGCCUUGUUGUACAGAAGAACCUGAAAGAGUUUCUUUCCUUUUUACUUUUAAUCCUAAGAAAAAAUGCAGUUGGGUGUGGUGGCAUGCACCCCAAUUCUCAGGUACUCAGGAGGUUGAGGCAGGAGAAUGUCUUAAGUCUAAGAGGAUCACUUGACUUAGUCACUUUUCUCACCUCUGAGACACAAAUACCUGAUACCUGCAACUUUAAGGAGGAGCAGUUUAUUUUGGCUCACAUUUCAGGCUUUGGUCGGUGGCACCAAAGAAGAAACAGCACAAUUGUUAGGAUAAAUGAACCACUAUGAUACAGACUCUAGAUUGACAAGUCAACCAGUGCUGACAACAGGCAGCAAUGUCUGAUUGUGUGUGAUAUAUUUUUCAGGAGGAUGUACAUAGGCUGUGUUAUGUAUACCUUUGUUACCAACCAACAGAUGGCCACAGAAAUCUAUUCAAGUCUUAGAAUGAUUACAUAUUAGGGAAACUGAAAUGGUCAUUUGUGUCAGUAUAUGCACAGAUGGGUGGUUGCAUUGACUGGAUGGCUUUCUGGUUUCACCACUCAGGUCAAAGAGGUGACUUCUAAAUGUGAGGCGCUGCACUGUAUCAUCCAUAUAGAAAUGCUGGCUAGCUGCAAAAUGUCACUUGACAUGAACAGUGUUUGCAGGAUCUGAUUAAAAUUAACAACCACAAAACACAUGCCCUUAACUCACAUGUUCACACAUCUCUGAAAAGAUGGCUGCAGAGUAUAACAGUCUUUUCUUAUACACAAAGGUGAGAUGGCUCUGUAGGGGUAGAUUAUUGGUUGGAGUUUUUGAGUUAUAAGAGCUGCUUCAGAAAUUUCUUUUAGAAAAACAGUCACCCUUGGCAGCACAUUACAGUGACACAGAAUGAGUCAUAAAACUUGUGAAUUUCUGUGACAUAAUCAACCUGCUCAGUGAACUCGGGAGAAUGACAACUGUGUUCAAGUUGGCAGAUAUAGUGGCUUCAUUCAAAACCAGACUGGAAUUAUGGGGGCAAUGAGUGAACACUGGAAUUUUUUUUUUUUUUUUUUUUGGUACCAGGGAUUGAACUCGGUACCUUGUGCUUUCGAGGUAGGCGCUGGAACCACCGAGCUAAAUCCCCGGCCCCAACACUGGAAUUUUUGACAUGUCUUAAACAUUAGCAGAGAUCUUGAAAGAGACUGAGCGAGGGCCUUCUUUUCUCCAGUUUGUGCAUGAUUGCCUAUCUCAGCUUUCAAAAGAGUUUGAGGAUUACUUCCCAACCAUAAAAGACCCCCAAACUCAGAAGGAAGGGAUUCACCACCCAUUUGUGAAUAAGCCAGGUGAAUUGACUUUGUCUGUGCUAGAAGAGGAUUCACUGCUUGAGAUCACAAAUGAUGAUGGCCUUCAAAGUAUGUUUGGAGACAACUCCGGAUCACCAUUUAUUCUGGUUAAAAGUCAAGGGAGAAUAUCCUGAGAUGGCCACAAAAACCCUAAAUAGCCUGCUCCCAUUUCCAUCGUCCUGUCUUUGUUAGAUAGAAUUUUCUGCAGUGACAGCAAACAGAGUGAGAUUAUGGAGUAGACUGGACAUAAGCAACACACUUUGGGUGUCACUGCCUCUCAUCACUCCCAGAUGGGACUAUCUAACUGGAGGAAACCAAGCUCAGGGCUCUCACUGAUUCUGCACUAUGGUGAGUUAUAGAAUGAUUUCAUUAUAUAUGACAAUGCAAUAAUAGAAAUAAAGUACACAAUAAAUGUAGUGCAAUUGAAUCAUCUGGGAACCCCCCCCCAAAUCCUUGGAAAAAUUGCCUUUCAUCAACCAGUCCCUGGCAUCAAAAAGAUUGGCAGCCACUGGAAUAUAUAGUGUCAUGAAACUACAUGAUGUUUCAGUCCAUGAUGGACCACAUAUUCAGUGAUUAUAAUGUACCUGAAAAAAGCAUAAAGCCUAAAUGUGUUUAAGAUGAGUGUCAUUACAAAAGUCAAAAUGUUUAAAAAUUAAGAGUUUAUGAAUUUAAAAGUUACAGUAAGCUAAAGUUAAUUGCAAACAGAAAAUUGUUUUUAUAAACUUAGUGUACUCUAAGUGAAUAAUGUUUAUAAAGUCUAUAGUAAUGUACAGCAGUGCUGUAGACUUUCAUGUUCACUUACCACUCAUACACUGAAUGACCGAGAGCAACUUCCACUCCUACAAGCUCCAUUCAUGGGAAGUGCCCUAUGUAGGAGUGCCAUUUUUAAUCUUAUAAUACCAUUUUACGGUACGUUUUCUAUAAUUAUAUGUUCACACAGAAAUACCAUGAUGUUACAUGCUGGGGAUUUAGCUCAGUGGUUUCACCGCCUGCUGUGCAAGCGCAAAGACCCGAGUUCAAUCCCCUGUACAAAAAAAGAUAACACCAUGAUGUUACAAAUGUCUAUAGUAUACAGUACAGACCUAUUCUCAGCAUAUAUAGAAAUCCUGUACUUCAGGAAAAGCGCAUAAUGUGUCAUUUUGAAUGGGAGAUUUAAACUAAGAACACUCCAGACAUACAUUGUGCGAAAGGGUAACUGGGUGCUACACAUUGCAUUAUUAUUUAAAAUAACAAUAAAAUCUAAAAUCCAACUGCUUAUGUGCACUAGCCACAUUCCGAUUGCCCAGUACCCACAUAUAGUUGCUACCAUAUUGGAUAGCACAGAUACACAACGCAAAAGGUGAACCUGCGUUUUGUACCGUGGUGGCUCAUUUAUCCUGUCUAACAGUUGUUCCUCAUUGUCCUCUGGCAUUUCACCAGCUCUUCUAGUUAUGGUGCUAGCCAAAACAGGAAGAUAUGCUACCUUUUGAACUGCAGCCUUUCCUGAAAGUUGGUGACAAAUAUCCUUAACAGCUACCAGGAUCAACUCUUUCAAUACUAAAGGGCUUCUAUGCAGUUGAUUAUUAAGAAUGAUGUUCUCAAAAAAAAAAAAAAGAAUGAUGUUCUCACCAUAGACACAUUUGAGGAAGUCAUGGCCUUCAAUAAUUGCUCUAUAUUACUAUAUCCUUUAUAAACACUGUUCACUUAGAGUACACUUUAUAUUCUCAUCCUUUUUUUUUUUUUAACUCCAAAGGCUUGUCUUUUUUAUUUUAUUUUAUUUUAUUUUUUUGAGACAGGGUCUUGCUAUUAGUUCAGGCUGGCUUGGACUCGCUGUGUAGCCCAUGCUGGCCUCAGACUUGCUGUGUUCCUCGUGCUUAGCCUCCCAAGUGCUGGGACUACAGGCAUGCGCCAUCUGGCCCAGUGAAGGCUUGUCUCAA